rnacentral:rRNA from 1 species
UGGGGAAUAUUGGACAAUGGGCGAAAGCCUGAUCCAGCAAUGCCGCGUGAGUGAUGAAGGCCUUAGGGUUGUAAAGCUCUUUUACCAGGGAUGAUAAUGACAGUACCUGGAGAAUAAGCUCCGGCUAACUCCGUGCCAGCAGCCGCGGUAAUACGGAGGGAGCUAGCGUUGUUCGGAAUUACUGGGCGUAAAGCGUACGUAGGCGGUGACUCAAGUCAGAGGUGAAAGCCUGGAGCUCAACUCCAGAACUGCCUUUGAAACUAGGUCGCUAGAAUCACGGAGAGGUGAGUGGAAUUCCGAGUGUAGAGGUGAAAUUCGUAGAUAUUCGGAAGAACACCAGUGGCGAAGGCGGCUCACUGGACGUGUAUUGACGCUGGGGUACGAAAGCGUGGGGAGCAAACAGGAUUAGAUACCCUGGUAGUCCCUGAGCGGGCUGGCAAGGCGCAU